rnacentral:rRNA from 1 species
GACGAACGCUGGCGGCACGCUUAACAGCAUGCAAGUCGCACGAAUAACGCUCUGUGUCUUCUGCCGGGGCUAAUACAGUAGGCGGACGGGUGCGUAUCACAUAUAUAGAUCCUGCCCUCAUCGCAGCAGGGACAAUACACCGAGAAACCGUGGCUUAUACCCCACGAUCGUCUGGACCCCGCAUGGGGACCAAAUGAAAUCUUGGGGUUACCCAAGCACCUUUGGAUGGGUCAGCAUUGGAUUAGCUUGGUGGUGACGCAACGGCUCACCUCAGCAACGAUCCAUAGAUGGUCUGACAUGACGAUCAGCACUCACAGGGACUGAAACCCCGCCCAGACUCCUACAGGAGGCAACCUUGGGGAAUCUUGCCCAAGGGGAUCACCCCUGAUGCCGCUCAGGCCACGUGGACGAAGAGACCCCUAUGGGGCGUAGGCUCAUUAUCUGAACGAAAGAAACCCCUGUAAGUUCGGGGCGCGACCGUCGUUCACGAAUAAGCACCGGCUGACUCCCUGCCAACAUCCUCGGUAAUACCGAGGGUGCCAGCGUUGUCCGGAAUCUCUGGGUGUAAAUGGUGUGCUCGCCGGGCAUCAAGUCGGAUGUGAAACCCCAUGGCUUAACCAUGGAGGUGCAUUAGAUAUUGUUGCUCAUGAGUACGGGAGAGGCUGUAGGAAUAAAUGGUGUAGCGGUGAAGUGUGUAGAUAUCUCGAGGAACACCAGAGGCGAAAGCGAGCAGCUGACGAAGUACUGACGCUCAGGCAAGACAGCGUGGCGAGCAAACACGUUUAGAUACAAUGCUAGUCCACGCAGUAAAGGAUGAACGCUCGCUGUUGCACCGCUCAAGGAGCAGUGACUAAGUUAACGGAGUAUGGAUUCCAUCUGGGGAGUACGAUAGCAAGGUAGAGACUCAAAGGAAUUGACGGGGGCCUGCACAAGCGGUGGAGCAUGUGGAUCAAUUAGAUGCAACGCGACGCACGUUACGUAGUGCUCGAACGUUAGAGGACGGUUCGUGAAAGGCAGCUUCCCGUUUGGAGCUUCUAGUGAGGUAUUGCAUGGCCGUGGUCAGCUUGUGUGGUGAGAUGACGGGUUAAGUCCCGCAAUGAGCGUAACCCGCGUUGAUAGUUUCCAUUGGGUAGGGCAGGGGACUUUAGCGAAAUUGCAUGUGCAAGCAGCGAGGAAGGUGGCGAGGACAUCAAGUCAUCAUGGUCGGUAGGCGUAGGGUUGCACACGUCCUACAAUGGCCGGUACAACGCGUAGCCACCUCGUGAGAGGGAGAGAAUCCCAGAAAACCGGUCCCAGUUAGUCUUUGAGUACGCAACUAGAUUCCGAGAAGCGUGAAUAGCUAGUAAUCGCGGAUCAGCAAUGGCGCGGAGAAUCAGUUCCCGGGCGUUGUACACACCACCUGUCAAGCCAUGGAAGUCGCGAGCACCCGAAGUCCGAGACUCAACUCCGCCCGAAUGCCCGAGAGAGAGCGGCCGAAGGUGAGCUCAGUGACUGGGGUU